rnacentral:rRNA from 1 species
UACGUAGGGGGGCAAGCGUUGUCCGGAAUCAUUGGGCGUAAAGCGCGUGUAGGCGGCUGGCUAAGUCCGCUCUGAAAGCCCGGGGCUCAACCCCGGGAGGCGGGUGGAUACUGGUCAGCUCGAGUCCGGAAGAGGAGUGUGGAAUUCCUGGUGUAGCGGUGAAAUGCGCAGAUAUCAGGAGGAACACCAAUGGCGAAGGCAGCACUCUGGGACGGUACUGACGCUGAGACGCGAAAGCGUGGGGAGCAAACAGG